rnacentral:rRNA from 1 species
CAGCAGCCGCGGUAAUUCCGGCGGCCCGAGUGGCGGCCACUAUUAUUGGGCCUAAAGCGUCCGUAGCCGGGCUGGUAAGUCCUCCGGGAAAUCUGGUCGCUUAACGAUCAGACUUCCGGAGGAUACUGCUGGCCUAGGGACCGGGAGAGGCCGAGGGUAUUCCCGGGGUAGGGGUGAAAUCCUGUAAUCCCGGGAGGACCACCUGUGGCGAAGGCGCUCGGCUGGAACGGGUCCGACGGUGAGGGACGAAGGCCAGGGGAGCGAACCGGAUUAGAUACCCGGGUAGUCCUGGCGGUAAACGAUGCGGACUAGGUGUCGGGCAAGCUAAGGGCUUGUCCGGUGCCGCAGGGAAGCCGUUAAGUCCGCCGCCUGGGGAGUACGGCCGCAAGGCUGAAACUUAAAGGAAUUGGCGGG